CUCGUUCUCGCGUGCAUGUCCUUCCUCGCUUCUAGUACCACUUCCGUAGGUGAUCACGGUUGCAUUUAGCAUAUGCAACAAGCCCUUUAAACCCCUAGAUAGCUCUAGUGGACGAGUGUGCUCUCGUGAGGGUUUGUAGAAGAUAUACCCACAAAAUCCCAAGUCGCGAUGAAUCCACAAUUCUCUAUUCUUGCAAUUAAUGCACCAAAACCAACCUAAAAUGAUAGAAAAUCACUUCAUCACCUCAACUCGUGACCUGCACAGAAAAACAAUAAAAACACAUCAAAAGACACUAAACACUUAAGUACAACCAACCAAUUUAAGUGGAAAUGAAGGCCUAUAAGUGUGUAUAAAUCCACUUAUCACACCCCCCAAACUUAAACUGAUGCUUGUCCUCAAGCGUCAACGACACUAGCAAUAAUACAAUGCAAUGCAUGAAUGCAACUACGUGAUGAAUGAGUGAACUAUGAAGUAAUUGCCUUGCCAAUUUAUAAUACCUCAGAUUGUGCUAAUGUUCUCGAAUUUCAUCUCUCUCGCUACUAAGUCAAUUACUCUUCUAUUUACAAGUGUGGAGUGCCAGUGUGUGCAAGCAUGCUCUUUUAUUGAGACAAGACAAAAACUACUACUCCCACAGAAUCCCAAUCAAGAAUCGUAAAAGUUUAAAACUAACACCCCGUCACUCAAGUCCAACUAAAAGCCAAGGUCCCAAAGAAUGUCCACACCCUUCUAUUUUAUUCACUAUAUAUUUUUUUUUUUUUUUCUUUUUAUUGGUGAUUAAUUGCUCGGUCUAAGGUCAGAGCGCUUCGCAGUGUAAAUGCGUUACGAACACCACAAGACUUCACACACCAAUUAUUCACUUUAUUCUAGUGGUUUAUUUAACCGUGCAAUGGUUGAGAUCCCUAAAGAUUUAUGCACUAGUACCCAUGUAGCGAGCGUUGGGUCAACAAUCCCAAACCACGAAGGGCUUUAGGUUGUUAGGCACAAAGUCCCCUCAGACUUAAUUACUCGAGUACUAAUGAGCUCAACCUAGUUAAUUCUACCACUUAUUUUUUUAGUGAAUUUAUUUACUACUAUUUUUUUUUUUUUUCUUUUUCUCUUUUUUUUUUUCUAUAUUCUCUUUUAGAAAGGUAUAUCUACUCCUCAGUUCCCCCAAACUUAAGAUUUACAGACCUAAGCUGAAGGGUGCUCAAUUCAAUCCUAGAAUUCAUGGAAUUUCGUCUAAAUCCUAUCUCAAGAACAUAUGUGAAUUACAAUUUCCAACACAAGCAAUUUCCAAGUACUAACCUAGCAUUGCAAUUGAAACUACUAAUCAAGAACUACGCACAUAACUCAUCAUAGGCAAUUAACUUGGCUUAACUUCAUAAUUCAUGCAAAUGCUCGUGAUACUAACUAUGACAAUUACCACUAAACAUGUUAAAAUAAAAAAAAUUGAGAAAAAUAAGAAAGAAAACGUGAGAAAUAAUCAAAGCAAAAUAAAAUAAACGUGAACUACAUGAUCUAACUACACAUGCAAAUAAUAAUAAAAAAAAACUAUAUAAUAAUAUGCUCUUCCUUAGAUUACCACCCCCAAACUUAAAAUUUUCAAUGUCCCCAUUGAAAGUGAUAAAAAGGCUAGAGCACCCACAUACCUACUCGGAGUCCGAGUCCUCCCCCUCCUCUGCUGGAGGUGAAUCAGGUGGAGGAUACUGCAUCCCUGCUCCGAAUACUGGCCACUGAACUGUGACCCCCUGUGCCUGGAAAGCACUACCUAGAGCCUGUGUCAAGUCAAACGCAAACCUCUGGUGGAUGUCAUGCAUGGUGUCCAUCCGUCUCGCUAAUCGGCGAUAAUGAACAUCUCCCAUCUGUUCGGAGCUCCUCUCUGUCUGAGAAGUACCAGCUCCAGAAGCUCUAGUCUGCUCCCUCCUCACAAAUGCUGGACGUCCCCCUGGCAUCUCAUCAUAUAUGUACCCAAGGCCUCGAGGGUGGGGAACUCCUCCUUCCCACUCCGUCAUCCGGCUGAUCGCCGAAUGAUCAAUAGGUGUUGCCGGCAACUGUAAUUGCUCGUUGGCCGGCCAACGAACACCACUCGAUCGACAGAGCUUCGUCACAAUUGUGCCAUUGCUCGUUGGCCGGCCAACGAACACCACUCGAUCGACAGAGCUUCGUCACAAUUGUGCCAUAUGGAAUGGCACCAGUGGUUCCCCCCUGUAAGAACCUCAGAAUCCCCUGAUGAAUAACAUGUCCCAGAUCAAUAUACUUGCCCGAGACAAUCCCAAAGAGCAGAAUAGCUCUAUCCACUGUCACCUCAUGCCCAUGUGAAGAUGGCAUGAUGUUAGCACAGAUGAAGGCGUUCCACGCCUUCGCAUACCGGUUCAACGCAGCUGCAGGAAAAGAAACAUGUGCCGGCAAAGGAGGUGCAGUCAUCUUCCAAUUCGUAUCCGGCACACACAUAUCAUACACCAACCGCUCAAGAUCAACCGCAUAAGCCGUUGAAACUCGGUUCGUAACCUCAGAAUCCCCUGAUGAAUAACAUGUCCCAGAUCAAUAUACUUGCCCGAGACAAUCCCAAAGAGCAAAAUAGCUCUAUCCACUGUCACCUCAUGCCCAUGUGAAGAUGGCAUGAUGUUAGCACAGAUGAAGGCGUUCCACGCCUUCGCAUACCGGUUCAACGCGGCUGCUGGAAAAGAAACAUGUGCCGGCAAGGGAGGUGCUGUCAUCUUCCAAGCUGUGUCCGGCACACACAUAUCAUACACCAACUUCUCAAAAUCAAUCGGAUCAUCAUCAAACCGGCGUUUAGCACGCCCGAUCCUCUCAACCACCCAAUCUUCUUCAUUACGGCGCCUGGCACGCCCCCCAAUGACUCUACGGAUCGCCUCCGCACUAUAAUCCACACGGAUUCCCCGCACCACCGUGAAUCCAUCGCGAUUCUCCUUGGCAUUAGCAUAAAACUCUCGAAUAAUAGCCAAGGGAACCGCCUCCGGAGCCUCGCAAAAAGACUCCCAACCCCGUUCUUGAAUCAUGUUCAAGAGCUCACCAUCUUCCGCCGUGGGUAAGAAUCCCCUCUCCUUAACUAUCGACUUAUUCAUAAGCCGUUGAAACUCGGUUCGUGCACCAUCGGAGGUGAACUCAACCUCACCCAUCGAGGAAGAAUCGCUAGAUGUAGGGGCUUGGGUGCUUGGUCCUUGUGAUCUUCGGGCUCUUUUGGGUGCCAUUGAUAGAGAUUUAGAGUUGCAAGAGAAUUGUGUGUAGUGGGUUUGAGAGAUUUGGAGGUAGUUGUGUGUAUGGAUGUGUAUAUAUAAUUAGGGUUUAUAGAAUUAUAAUAGGAAUUGGAGAUGGGUUUUGUGUUUAUAUAAGGAUAUGAGAGCUGAGUUAGGGUUAUAGAGGAUAUAUUUCGGGCUAGGCAUGCAAAAUUAGGAUUGUGGGCUUUUAAAAACGAAAAGAAAAUAUUUUUGGGAGAAAAAUCGCCUGUCCCGGCAGUCAGUAGCGCGGGCGCGCUAAGAGUAGCGCGGGCGCGCUGUGCACUUUAGCGCGGGCGCGCUGGACACUAGCGCGGGCGCGCUAGUGUCUGACCCCGGGGGCUGAUUUUCUCGAUUUUUGUGUUUUUGAGGUUUACAAUGGUACAAUGUGAUUCCAAUGCGUGGGUUGCCUCCCACGAAGCGCUUGUUUAACGUCGUUAGCUCGACGUGAAGUCCAGAAUUAAUCCAUCAUGGGUUCUAAUGAAAGCAUGAUAAAGAAAAGACGAGAAUUAAAUAGAAUAAAAAUGCUUGAAUUAAUAAUAAUAAGGAUCACACGUUACAGAUUUGAUGUUCACGAUCUCGCUCGAAACUGUCACUUCCUCGCAAAGAACGAUCCGAUACAACUGAUAAUGUGCUUGAAUGAUUAAACUGAAACUACGAUAUAUGCACUGGUAGAGAAUAGAGGACAAGUGUCUCCACAUGCAUUAGAAUUUGAGUCUGAGUGAGCUCUAAUUCUGUGCCAAUUAGUCAUCUGGAUUUCCUGAGUGACUUCGACCGCUUCAUCUUCCUCUGAUUCUUCCUCUUUUGGAAUUUUCCACUUUAGGUCUCUGUGCUCAGCAGCGGCCAGAUUCUCUAUCAGCUCGUAAUCAUCAUCAAAGCUCUUGCUCCAAAGAUUUCCUCCAGCUGCAACGUCUAACACUGCUCUACAUUGACCAUUAAGACCUCUGUAGAAAUAAUGAAUUGUCAUUCCAGGAGGCAUGUCAUCUUCAUUGAGAUUUUCGAGAAUCUUCUUGAAUCGGUCCCAAGCUAGACAAAGAUAUUCUCCCGAGAAUUGAGAGAAUUUACCUUCAGUGUUUUUGAUAGCUGAUACUUUGAUUAGAGGAUAAAACCUUGUACAGAAUAUUUUCUCCAACUUGUUCCAGCUAUUAGUAGUGCUUGCCGAGAGAGAGAUAAACCACGAUCGUGCUACAUCACGUAGCGUGAAUGGAAAGAGUCUCAGCUUCACUAGAUCCUUAGGUCCGAUAUUGAAAUCCAAUGCAGUAAUGAAUUUCUCGAAAUUCCUUAGGUGCAGGUUUGGGUCCUCAAGAACAGAUCCCCCAAAUUGAAUAGUAUCUUGCAGCUUGAGAACGAUUGAUGGCUUGAUUCGAAUACCACUGGCUGAUAUCGCUGGCUCAAUUGUGUCAGCCCGAUUAUCAUUGAUUUUCAACCGAGAAAAUCCACGUGUCGCCUCACCAACUGCUGUCCUCGCAUAAUCUCUUGUUCCAGAAUCAGAAGAAGAAGAAGAAUCCAUUGCUUCCUUAUGAGCUUUAGAAUGUGUUAGCAUAAACGCGAUCCAAGUACCUGAAAUAAAGAAAAGAAGAAAAGUGAGAAGAGAAUAGAAUCCUAGUCAGUGAAUUUUAAUGCACACUGAUGACAAGUACAUAAACUAAUUAAUUAACACCGAGUCCCCGGCAGCGGCGCCAAAAACUUGUUCGCAAAAAUCUACACGCAAGCGCACGUGAUCACAAGUAAUAUAUUAAGUUCGAUCCCACAGAGACUGGUGAAUUAAGAAUACGCACCUAUGCAACAAUGUAUGAUCAAUUUUCACUGCCAAGACAAUUAACAAGGAUGGUUUCUUUUAUACUAAUAACUAAAUUUACUAAUCAAAUUCAGAAUAGGAAAACACAUGGGAUUCUAACUUCAUUAUCGAAUUCAUCUAGAAUUGAAAUUACUGAUUAACAUGCGACUGUUGAUCCUAAUCAGACAACACGAAAGUAAUACAUGCCAACUCUCGUUGCACACAUAUCAUACCAAUCAAAAUCCACAAUUAAGACAGAAAUCUCAUGGACACCAACAAAGCUCAGACCCUAUAUCUCUAUAGCGGUAGUGUAAGCAGAGAGGUUUAAUAGCAAGUCGUCUAUCGUGAUUACACAGGGUGAUAAAAAUAGUUCAAGUCUACCACAAAUUAUGUUUCAUUCACAUAAUCCUAUGUUUACAUGGCAUAGUUCUAAAUUCAAUCAUCCACUCUCGCUUCAGAAAGAAUUAACAAACAACUUAGAAGUUAGCUACGCUCCUAAGAAGAAUAAGCACGGCUCAUGCAAAGAAAUCAACGUACGUCACAAAAUCAAGUAAUUAAUAUUCGUUACUAGACUACAUCGAUAAAUCCAUUAGAAUCCCAUGAAGGCGGUUAGUUCAUAAUCGAACUAAUCGACAUCAUGGGUUCUAAUGAAAACAUGAUAAAUAAAAGACAAGAAUUAAAUGGAAUAAAAAUGCUUGAAUUAAUAAUAAAGAUCACACGUUACAGAUUUGAUGUUCACGAUCUCGCUCGAAACUGUCACUUCCUCGCGAAGAACGAUCUAAUACAAACUGAUAAUGUGCUUGAAUGAAUAAUACUUAACUACGAUAUUGUUCUCUACUAAAACUACUUCUCCGAGGCUAGGGUUUUACACACGAGAAAUUAAAAUACAUUGACCAAGUCAACCGGGCCUCGACCGCUGCGAAAAUCCGCUAAAAAGCUGUAAAAAUCGGCCCGGGGAACUUCUGCUGGGCGCGGCCGCGCUAAACUAGCGCAGGCGCGCUAGUUGUCCCAGUGGAUAGCGCGGGCGCGCUGUCAAGUAGCGCGGGCGCGCUACUGUCUGUGAUGGCAGCCCCGUUUCUUCGUUUCUCGCUCGUUCUCGCGUGCAUGUCCUUCCUCGCUUCUAGUACCACUUCCGUAGGUGAUCACGGUUGCAUUUAGCAUAUGCAACAAGCCCUUUAAACCCCUAGAUAGCUCUAGUGGACGAGUGUGUUCUCGUGAGGGUUUGUAGAAGAUGUACCCACAAAAUCCCAAGUUGUGAUGAAUCCACAAUUCUCUAUUCUUGCAAAUAAUGCACCAAAACCAACCUAAAAUGAUAGAAAAUCACUUCAUCACCUCAACUCGUGACCUGCACAGAAAAACAAUAAAAACACAUCAAAAGACACUAAACACUUAAGUACAACCAACCAAUUUAAG
rnacentral:lncRNA from 1 species